GAUGAACGCUAGCGGGAGGCUUAACACAUGCAAGUCGAGGGGCAGCAUAGGGGUAGCAAUACUCUGAUGGCGACCGGCAAACGGGUGAGUAACGCGUAUGCAACCUACCCUGUACAGGGGGAUAACCCGGAGAAAUUCGGACUAAUUAUCCCGUAAUAAUAUCCGGAGGCAUCUUUGGAUAUUUAAAGUUCCGACGGUACGGGAUGGGCAUGCGUAACAUUAGCUGGUUGGUAAGGUAACGGCUUACCAAGGCUAUGAUGUUUAGGGGUCCUGAGAGGGUGGUCCCCCACACUGGUACUGAGACACGGACCAGACUCCUACGGGAGGCAGCAGUGAGGAAUAUUGGUCAAUGGGCGCAAGCCUGAACCAGCCAUCCCGCGUGCAGGAAGACGGCCCUAUGGGUUGUAAACUGCUUUUCCAGGGAGAGAAACUUACGCACGUGUUGCGUGACUGACGGUACCCUGGGAAUAAGCAUCGGCUAACUCCGUG
rnacentral:rRNA from 1 species